AAGUGGUAGCAAUACCAUGAGUAAAGUGGCGCACGGGUGAGUAACACGUGACUAACCUACCCUGGAGUGGGGGAUAACUGAGGGAAACCUUAGCUAAUACCGCAUAAUACCCACGGGUCAAAGGAGCAAUUCGCUCUGGGAGGGGGUCGCGGCCGAUUAGUUAGUUGGCGGGGUAACGGCCCACCAAGACGAUGAUCGGUAUCCGGCCUGAGAGGGCGCACGGACACACUGGAACUGAAACACGGUCCAGACUCCUACGGGAGGCAGCAGUGGGGAAUUUUGCGCAAUGGGGGAAACCCUGACGCAGCAACGCCGCGUGGAGGAUGAAGUCCUUCGGG
rnacentral:rRNA from 1 species